AUGCUCGCUUCGGCAGCACAUAUACUAAAAUUGGAAUGAUACAGAAAAGAUUAGGAUGACAUGCAAAUUCCUGAAGUGUUCCAUAUUUUU
rnacentral:snRNA from 1 species